rnacentral:rRNA from 1 species
AGAGUUUGAUCCUGGCUCAGAAUCAACGCUGGCGGCGUGCCUAACACAUGCAAGUCGAACGCGACUGAGGGCUUCGGCUCUCGGUUGAGUGGCGAACGGGUGAGUAACACGUGGGUGACCUACCUUCGAGUGGGGGAUAACGUCCCGAAAGGGACGCUAAUACCGCAUAACAUCCCGCCUUUGAACAGGCGGACAUCAAAGCCGGGGAUCGCAAGACCUGGCGCUUGAAGAGGGGCCCGCGUCCGAUUAGCUAGUUGGUGGGGUAAUGGCUCACCAAGGCAACGAUCGGUAGCCGGCCUGAGAGGGCGGACGGCCACACUGGGACUGAGACACGGCCCAGACUCCUACGGGAGGCAGCAGUGGGGAAUUGUUCGCAAUGGGCGCAAGCCUGACGACGCAACGCCGCGUGGAGGAUGAAGGUCUUCGGAUUGUAAACUCCUGUUGCCCGGGACGAAUGGCUCCAACCUAACACGUUGGAGUGUGACGGUACCGGGUGAGGAAGCCCCGGCUAACUCUGUGCCAGCAGCCGCGGUAAUACAGAGGGGGCGAGCGUUGUUCGGAAUUACUGGGCGUAAAGGGCGCGUAGGCGGCCUGCUAAGUCGAACGUGAAAUCCCCGGGCUCAACCCGGGAACUGCGUCCGAGACUGGUUGGCUUGAAUCCGGGAGAGGGAUGUGGAAUUCCAGGUGUAGCGGUGAAAUGCGUAGAUAUCUGGAGGAACAUCGGUGGCGAAGGCGGCAUCCUGGACCGGUAUUGACGCUGAGGCGCGAAAGCCAGGGGAGCAAACGGGAUUAGAUACCCCGGUAGUCCUGGCCCUAAACGAUGAAUGCUUGGUGUGGCGGGUAUCGAUCCCUGCCGUGCCGAAGCUAACGCAUUAAGCAUUCCGCCU